UACGUAGGGGGCAAGCGUUGUCCGGAUUUAUUGGGCGUAAAGCGCUCGCAGGUGGUCCGAUGCGUCGUGCGUGAAAGACCCCGGCUCAACUGGGGGGCGUCGUGCGAUACGGUCGGACUGGAGGCCAGUAGGGGGAUGCGGAAUUCCGGGUGUAGUGGUGGAAUGCGUAGAGAUCCGGAGGAACACCAGCGGCGAAGGCGGCAUCCUGGACUGGUCCUGACACUCAUGAGCGAAAGCGUGGGGAGCGAGCCGG
rnacentral:rRNA from 1 species